rnacentral:rRNA from 1 species
CGGUGAAUACGUUCCCGGACCUUGUACACACCGCCCGUCAAGCCAUGGAAGCUGGGUGUACCUAAAGUCGGUGACCGCAAGGAGCCGCCUAGGGUAAAACUAGUAACUGGGGCU